AGGUAUAUAGCUCAGUGGUAGAGCGCAUGCCUAGCAUGCACGAGGUCCUGGGUUCAAUUCCCAGUACCUCCA
rnacentral:tRNA from 1 species